GUAAGGCCCUUGGCACCGGUGGGACAAGACUAAUUUAAUUUAAUAUAACAAUUAUGACAACAUUGCGACCAUUCACCUGCGACGAUCUUUUUAAAUUUAACAAUGUGAAUUUUGAUCCACUCACGGAGACUUAUGGCCUUUCCUUCUAUACACAAUACCUGGCCAAAUGGCCGGAGUACUUUCAACUGGCUGAGUCGCCUAGUGGGCAAAUCAUGGGCUACAUCAUGGGCAAGGUGGAAGGACAUGGAGACAAUUGGCAUGGACACGUAACGGCUCUAACAGUCUCACCGGACUAUAGAAGAUUAGGGCUGGCGGCCCUACUGAUGAGCUUCCUAGAGGAUAUAUCAGAGAAAAAACGCGCAUACUUCGUGGACUUGUUUGUGCGUAAGAGCAACCAAGUGGCCAUAAACAUGUAUAAGAAUCUAGGAUACAUCAUCUAUCGCACUAUACUCGAGUAUUAUUCGGGCGACCAAGAUGAGGAUGCGUAUGACAUGCGUAAGGCGCUCUCCCGAGAUGUGAACAAAAAAUCGGUUAUACCAUACACGCAACCAGUACGAUUGGAAGAUAUAGAUAUGAAUUAAUAUCCACCCAAAUACAGCCCGCAUUCGCAUUUAUGUUUACUGAUCACCAUGAUAAUUACCUUAAAACAUAAUUGGCACAAUUGCUCAUACUCGGCACAGUCAUGCCGAUCUCCAAAUUCUAGUUAUUUAAAUAAAAAAAAUGUAUCUAAUCCGUAGUACUGGAGCAUUCUGUUAUGUUUAAGUACAAAGGUCCUAAUUUUUUUUUUGCUAACUUAAACCCGACAUCCUAGCGAGCCUACGCUCUCCAAAACUUGGAUUACGUAUGAUAUUACAUUCAUGUAAUCCUCUGUUAUGUACGUAAUAUUUUAUUUUAUUCAUUUUGUCAUCAGUUCUAAGAUCUUUUUAAGACGAUUGUAACUAUUGCAAAUGAAAUACUCACUGAUCUUUAAAGAUAACAAUGCGAGAAUUACGACACCAAAUAAGACACGAAGGAUAAAAAUCUAAUCUUAUACUCUACAUGCAUGAAUUGUAUAUAUAUAUAUAUAUAUGAGCUGAAUCUGCCAUUAAGCCCUAUUCAGUCUCGAAUAGGGAGA